GCACCCUUCGGGGUUGCACACGAUAAAAUUGGAACGAUACAGAGAAGUUGGUUCUUACCGCCACGGCCAAUGAACCGCUUAGUAAUGUUCUUCCCACACCAUCUAUAGCCUGCUAAUUACAUAAUCAUACUGAUUAGCAUGGCCCCUGCACAAGGAUGACACGCUUUUCCGGAGUGGUAGACCUACGGGUCUCAAUAUUUAU
rfam:Paxillus involutus ATCC 200175 unplaced genomic scaffold PAXINscaffold_1116, whole genome shotgun sequence.